rnacentral:rRNA from 1 species
UACGUAGGGGGCGAGCGUUGUCCGAAGUUACUGGGCGUAAAGAGCGCGUAGGCGGGUUUUUAAGUGAGGGGUGAAAUUUCGAGGCUCAACCUCGGAACUGCCUUUCAUACUGGGAACCUUGAGUGCGGGAGAGGCGAGUGGAAUGGUCGGUGUAGCGGUGAAAUGCGUAGAUAUCGGGAGGAACACCUGUGGCGAAAGCGGCUCACUGGACCACAACUGACGCUGAGGCACGAAAGCUAGGGGAGCAAACAGG